AGAGUACUCCCUCCGUUCGGAAUUACUUGUCGUGAAAAUGGGUGUAUCUAGAUGUAUUUUAGUUCUAGAUACAUCCAUUUUCGAGACAAGUAAUUUUGAACGGAGGGAGUACAUG
rfam:Triticum aestivum genome assembly, contig: Triticum_aestivum_CS42_TGACv1_scaffold_030953_1BL